UUUUUUUUUUUCUUCGAUACCCAUUCAUGUUUUGGCAGACGUUUCAUUUUCUACCCAUUAAUUGUCCCGGCAUUGAAAGAAUGAAAAUCUGCGGCCUAAGGCAAAUCACGCUCAACCACCACAUCUUCCCUCUUUUGAAAUUCUCCACUGCAGUGAUUCCAUGUGUGUUUACAUAAUGGUUACUACAGUGCUUGCAACCUCCGCCUCUGCCGUACCGACUCCGGGAAUCCUAACACUGAAAGACUUUCAGCAAAAAAAUGGAAUGGGACCAUGGAUGACCCGAGUUCGCAUUAUCCUGGUGUGGCAUGAAUCGGACUUCAUGAGAACCAAUGAUGUUACCAGCCUUGAUUUGCUCCUGCUGGAUGAAGUAGCAAAGUGAAUAUGAUUCCAGAUUAUUUUCUUAAAUAUGAGCAUUACAUAGUAAUUUCGACGGAAGAAGACGCACUGGUUUUUCGUUUAUUCUUCACUGGAUUUUUAAAUGAUUGCUUAGAAGAAAGCUCGGGAUCUCUUUGGUGAGGGCUCAAGGAUUUCCAAUGCCUAAUUUGCUCAUGUUUCUCUAAUCCUUGCUCCUGAUAGAUGUUAAUUGUCUAAAUGGCAUCAAUCAGCUUCAGUAGGUCAGUUCAAAGAGAUGGUUAUCUGCCAUAGGGAAUUGUGACUGCCUCACUUUUGGGGCGGGGAGAUGGAACUGAAAGUGAAAAUUUCACCAUUCAACUUCAACAGCUUGGUAAGUAUAUAUUUUGGGAAAAACCAUCUCAUGAUCUGUUUGUUUCAGUUAGCUUUUUUGUGACCGCAAUUGAAAUAUUUACUAUAUAUUCACCAUGUCGAAAAGAAUGGAGAUAUUUUUGAUUUAACAAAGAUAAGGUAAACUUUCCCCACUUAUCUCUGCAUUUUUCCCAAGUUAUUCCGUUUCUCGGUCUAUAAGCCUGAGCAAAUUUUGCAAACAAACAUUUAAAAGAUACAUGUUACAAAGGCGAGGGAUUCGGAAACAUUAAAGACUAUAUACAUUGUCAAAUACUCUACAUGUAUGAACUAAGCCAGUGGGAAUAGCAGAAUGAAAAAUUCGCCGGAUGCAGCUUCUAAAUCAACCGGGCAUUUGGUCGAACUGGUGGUCGUAUCAUGAGGAUGAGGAAGGAAAUCACUAUGCAUUUUAAGGCAAUGUCACUUGAACUAUAAUCAUAUGCAGAUAACAAAAACAUUAUAAUGGAGGUUGACUUCAUUCAUGCAUCACUGAUUAGUAAGAAACAAAUUGAGUGUAUGGUCAUGAAAAAUUGUCAGGUAUGGAGAUGCAUUUUAUUUGAGAAGGGGUGGGAACUUACAUUGUUUCAUGAACUAAUUAGAUUUUGUAUCUUUGUUAGGGAUAAUGAAAAUAAGUAUGGGUGGGAUGGCACUGACAGUCCAAAAAAGAAAGCUCCAAUUUGUAGCUUUGAACCAUCCUCCUAUUUUAUGCUGUAAUGUAUUUGAUUGUCUAUUUGUGUAGUUUGUUCAAGGGACAACCAUUUUGUAGACUGUACUUGAGCAAAUCUCUAAAUUGCAUGUAGUUUGUAUGUUGGUUA